GACGAACGCUGGCGGCGUGCCUAAUACAUGCAAGUUGAGCGAUGAAGAUUGGUGCUUGCACCAAUUUGAAGAGCAGCGAACGGGUGAGUAACGCGUGGGGAAUCUGCCUUUGAGCGGGGGACAACAUUUGGAAACGAAUGCUAAUACCGCAUAACAACUUUAAACAUAAGUUUUAAGUUUGAAAGAUGCAAUUGCAUCACUCAAAGAUGAUCCCGCGUUGUAUUAGCUAGUUGGUGAGGUAAAGGCUCACCAAGGCGAUGAUACAUAGCCGACCUGAGAGGGUGACAUGCCACAUUGGGACUGAGACACGGCCCAUACUCCUACGGGAGGCAGCAGUAGGGAAUCUUCGGCAAUGGACGAAAGACUGACCGAGCGACGCCGCGUGAGUGAAGAAGGAUUUCGGAUCGUAGAUCUCUGUUGGUAGAGAAGAACGUUGGUGAGGAUGGAAAGCUCAUCAAGUGACGGUAACUACGCAGAAAGCAACGGCUAACUACGUG
rnacentral:rRNA from 1 species